UUGACACAAUUUAUCCCAAUGCGAAAACUAAAUUUAAAGAAGAGUGGGACACAGUAGCUCCAUUAAUAAUACGUUGUGCUAAAUCAAAAAAUAAAUUAAAUUCAUCAGAUGAGGAAUUAAUUGAAGCAGGAAAAACGAAUAUUUUAGCACUAUUUUGUUUAUCGAAAAUUCUCAGGACAAUUCUUCGCAAAAGAAAAGAUUCUGAUAUUACUUUUGGAUGUUUGUUACAAGAUGUAACGAAUUCCUUUAUACUUCAUGUUAAGUCGCUUGAUGAUUUAACGGAGUUUAAGAAUAGAAGAAUUGAAGAGUCAAACAAAAGUGGAAAUA